UACAGAGGGGGCAAGCGUUGUUCGGAAUUACUGGGCGUAAAGGGCGCGUAGGCGGCCUUCUAAGUCGAACGUGAAAUCCCCGGGCUCAACCCGGGAACUGCGUCCGAUACUGGAAGGCUUGAAUCCGGGAGAGGGAUGUGGAAUUCCAGGUGUAGCGGUGAAAUGCGUAGAUAUCUGGAGGAACACCUAUUGCGAAGGCAGGUCUCUGGGCAUUAACUGACGCUGAGGAGCGAAAGCAUGGGGAGCGAACAGG
rnacentral:rRNA from 1 species